rnacentral:rRNA from 1 species
AGAUUGAACGCUGGCGGCAUGCCUUACACAUGCAAGUCGAACGGCAGCACGGGGGCAACCCUGGUGGCGAGUGGCGAACGGGUGAGUAAUGCAUCGGAACGUGCCCAGUAGUGGGGGAUAACUAGUCGAAAGAUUAGCUAAUACCGCAUACGACCUAUGGGUGGAAGCGGGGGAUUCGCAAGAACCUCGCGCUAUCGGAGCGGCCGAUGUCUGAUUAGCUAGUUGGCGGGUAAAAGCCCACCAAGGCUUCGAUCAGUAGCUGGUCUGAGAGGACGACCAGCCACACUGGGACUGAGACACGGCCCAGACUCCUACGGGAGGCAGCAGUGGGGAAUUUUGGACAAUGGGCGCAAGCCUGAUCCAGCCAUGCCGCGUGCGGGAAGAAGGCCUUCGGGUUCGUAAACCGCUUUUGGCAGGAACGAAACGGCGCGAGCGAAUAUCUCGCGUUAAUGACGGUACCUGCAGAAUAAGCACCGCUAACUACGUGCCAGCAG